rnacentral:rRNA from 1 species
GUCCAGACUCCUACGGGAGGCAGCAGUGGGGAAUAUUGCACAAUGGGGGAAACCCUGAUGCAGCGACGCCGCGUGAGCGAAGAAGUAUUUCGGUAUGUAAAGCUCUAUCAGCAGGGAAGAAAUUGACGGUACCUGAGUAAGAAGCUCCGGCUAAAUACGUGCCAGCAGCCGCGGUAAUACGUAUGGAGCAAGCGUUAUCCGGAUUUACUGGGUGUAAAGGGAGCGUAGACGGCGACGCAAGUCUGGAGUGAAAGCCCGGGGCCCAACCCCGGGACUGCUCUGGAAACUGCGGCGCUGGAGUACGGGAGGGGCAGGCGGAAUUCCUGGUGUAGCGGUGAAAUGCGUAGAUAUCAGGAGGAACACCGGUGGCGAAGGCGGCUUGCUGGACUGCGACUGACGUUGAGGCCCGAAAGCGUGGGGAGCAAACAGGAUUAGAUACCCCGGUAGC